CCCUCUGCAUGAGUGUCCUCCUUCAGUUUAUGGAGAUUUCAGAAAGGAGGAAAAAGGACUCAUUCACUUUGCUGCCUUUCUUUCCGUGGAGAGAUCUCACCAUGGCCUGGAUUCUGCUUCUCCUUGUGUUCUUCAGUUCCUCCUCAGGUGUCCAGUUCCAGCCCACAUUGACCCAGCCUGCUUCCGUGUCCGUGUCCCUCGGACGAACAGCAAAGCUCUCCUGUUCCAAAAAUGGUGGCGAUAAGUGGGAUGCCGCCAUCUCCUGGUACCAACAGAAACCGGGACAGGCUCCUCGCUUUCUACUCUCCAGCACCAACAUCCGGGGAGAAGGGAUCCCGGAUCGCUUUGCGAGGUCGACCUCUGGCAACACGGGCUACUUAACCAUUUCGAAUGUCCAGGCGGAAGAUGAAGCAGAUUAUUAUUGUGGUGCUGCUGGGUACAAUGGCGAUGGAUGUCAUGGUGGCUCAGUGUGAUGGGGAACUAAUCCCUUCUCCCGCAAAAGAGUAAUUCUUAGUUACUACAGAACCUCCUAGAUUUUAUUUGCAAAAUGGUGGUCUACUUGGUCUACAGCUUUCCCUAAAAAUCCUGCCCAUAUUUAGCCUUAGUGAUGUCUAGUUUCUAAGAGUUCACUUUUAGGGGGAAGAGUUGGUCUAUUGUCUCUAUUAUGUUUGAAAGAAGCAGAUGGCAACAGACACCACCUGCGCUUGUUUUGCCGCUGAGAUAGCUGGAAAGCCUGCAAUAUGCAUGAGCACCCCUUCUUCUCCGCUCACUAGUGCAUUGAGUUCAAGUUACCCUUACACAACCUGCUCUGGGCAGGGACAUAGCAGCAUAGUAUUACAGUGCACCCUUGGUAUCUGCUGGGGUUUGGUUUGAGGACCUCUCUGUGGAUACCAAAAUCCGUGGAUGCUCAAGUCCCCGUUAAAUACAAUGUCAUAGUAAACCGCUGUCCCUUACAU